rnacentral:rRNA from 1 species
GAUCAUGGCUCAGGAUGAACGCUGGCGGCGUGCUUAACACAUGCAAGUCGAACGGAACUACUUUGAUGAGAUUCUUCGGAAAGGAUUUGAUUUAGUUUAGUGGCGGACGGGUGAGUAACGCGUGGGUAACCUGCCUCAUACAGGGGGAUAACAGUUGGAAACGGCUGUUAAUACCGCAUAAGCGCACAGUACCGCAUGGUAUGGUGUGAAAAACUCCGGUGGUAUGAGAUGGACCCGCGUCUGAUUAG